ACGGAAGGCAGCAGUGAGGAAUAUUGGUCAAUGGGCGAGAGCCUGAACCAGCCAUGUCGCGUGCAGGAAUACGGCCCUAUGGGUUUUAAACUGCUUUUGCCUGGGGAUAAAGUGGCGGACUUGUCCGUUAUUGCAGGUACCAGGCGAAUAAGGAUCGGCUAACUCCGUGCCAGCAGCCGCGGUAAUACGGAGGAUCCGAGCGUUAUCCGGAUUUAUUGGGUUUAAAGGGUGCGUAGGCGGAGGAUCAAGUCAGUGGUGAAAUGGUGCGGCUCAACCGUAGCAUUGCCGUUGAAACUGGUUUUCUAGAGUGCGAAUGAGGUGGGCGGAAUGUGUCAUGUAGCGGUGAAAUGCAUAGAUAUGACACAGAACACCGAUUGCGAAGGCAGCUCACUGGGACGCAACUGACGCUGAGGCACGAAAGUGCGGGGAUCGAACAGGAUUAGAUACCCUGGUA
rnacentral:rRNA from 1 species